rnacentral:rRNA from 1 species
UUUUACGGAGAGUUUGAUCCUGGCUCAGGAUGAACGCUGGCGGCGUGCUUAACACAUGCAAGUCGAACGAUGAAGCCCAGCUUGCUGGGUGGAUUAGUGGCGAACGGGUGAGUAACACGUGAGUAACCUGCCCUUAACUCUGGGAUAAGCCUGGGAAACUGGGUCUAAUACCGGAUAGGAGCGCCUACCGCAUGGUGGGUGUUGGAAAGAUUUAUCGGUUUUGGAUGGACUCGCGGCCUAUCAGCUUGUUGGUGAGGUAAUGGCUCACCAAGGCGACGACGGGUAGCCGGCCUGAGAGGGUGACCGGCCACACUGGGACUG